rnacentral:rRNA from 1 species
GACGAACGCUGGCGGCGUGCUUAACACAUGCAAGUCGAACGGAAAGGCCCCUUUGGGGGUACUCGAGUGGCGAACGGGUGAGUAACACGUGAGUAACCUGCCCUUGACUUCGGGAUAACUUCAGGAAACUGGGGCUAAUACCGGAUAGGAAUCCUUGCUGCAUGGUGGGGGUUGGAAAGCUUCGGCGGUUUUGGAUGGACUCGUGGCUUAUCAGCUUGUUGGUGGGGUAGUGGCUUACCAAGGCUUUGACGGGUAGCCGGCCUGAGAGGGCGACCGGCCACAUUGGGACUGAGAUACGGCCCAGACACCUACGGGAGGCAGCAGGGGGGAAGAUUGCACAAUGGGCGGAAGCCGGAUGCAGCAACGCCGCGGGCGGGAUGACGGCCUUCGGGUUGUAAACCGCUUUCAGCAGGGGCGAAGCUUGUGGUGACGGUACCUGCAGAAGAAGCACCGGCUAACUACGUG